UUACGGCCAUAUCAUUUUGAAACACCGCACGAUCACCGAAGUUAAGCAACGCCGAGCCUGGUUAGUACCUAGAUAGGUGUCCGCUUGGGAAUACCAGGUACCGUAAU